rnacentral:lncRNA from 1 species
CAGGGGCUAGUUCCUCCUCACGCCCGGUAAAAAAACUCACAGAUUUUCCUAGAGUCCUCGUAGGCUGAGGCCUUUUCAAAGUCUCUGCCUCCUUCUCCUUCUCGGCUGCUCUUUUCGCAGCCUCCUUUUUUGCUUCAUCUUCCCCUACCCUUUGGACAAUCUCCACCUUCAUAGCAGACUCCAUUAGUUUUAGUGAUGGAGGGUCGGCCUUACUAGAGUGGGACACAGUGGUCCCAAACUUUAUUGUGGAAGAGCCACUACUGUGAACCCAACUCCUCUUCUUUUGAGGUUCAUUGGGGAAUUUCUC